rnacentral:piRNA from 1 species
UCCCUAUGUGAGUGAAGUCUGCAGA